rnacentral:snRNA from 8 species
AUCGCUUCUCGGCCUUUUGGCUCAGAUCAAGUGUAGUAUCUGUUCUUAUCAGUUUAAUAUCUGAUACGUCCCCCAUCGGGGGACUACAUAUUAAAUGGAUUUUUCGAACAGGGAGUCGGAAAUGGGGCUUGCUCCGUCCGCUCCACGCAUCGACCCGGUAUUGCAGUACCUCCGGGACUGGUGCAACACUU